CCAAUCUACCCUACAAGGUGGAGUUCAUGCUGGAUAUUGAAGGCCGUGGCCCUGUCAAAUUUUUUGCCCAUCUCAAGGAGGACGAGUUUGACUACCUUGAAUAGUAUUUUACAAUUUCAUCUGCUUUGCUGCUUCCCCUGCCAGACGAGGCAAAUACUGCUCUGUUUCCAUUUCCCUUUUAUUAUCUCUUUACUUAAUCAUACCCUUGUGUAAUGCAGUAUUAAAUGUAGUUUACAUGCUUAAUUGUUGUUCUUAUUUUUCCCAUCUUAUAUUUUUCUGUAUCAAUAUAAGAAUUUAUGCUUACCUGCUUCUUGUACAUUUGAUUUUGGAUAUCAGUGAAGCAAUGUGGGAUCGAGAAAACGCUUCUCUUAAAGACGUUUGGCAUCUUUAUUGUCCCAUGUUAUAUAAAUAAAUCAAUGCUCUUUCGCUGUUUCUCCAGGAAUAUUUUUUUUCAAUGCAUAGCUCUUGUUUGGUACUCCAUUCUUUUGUUUGUGUUCAUUGUUCCCUUUCCAUUUUUAGUUUACAAUACUU
rnacentral:lncRNA from 1 species